rnacentral:rRNA from 1 species
UACGUAGGGUGCAAGCGUUAAUCGGAAUUACUGGGCGUAAAGCGUGCGCAGGCGGUUUUGUAAGACCGAUGUGAAAUCCCCGGGCUUAACCUGGGAACUGCAUUGGUGACUGCAAGGCUUGAGUGUGUCAGAGGGAGGUGGAAUUCCGCGUGUAGCAGUGAAAUGCGUAGAUAUGCGGAGGAACACCGAUGGCGAAGGCAAUCCCCUGGGCCUGCACUGACGCUCAUGCACGAAAGCGUGGGGAGCAAACAGG